UGGCGAACGGGUGAGUAACACGUGGGUGAUCUGCCUUGCACUCUGGGAUAGGCUUGGGAAACUGGGUCUAAUACCGGAUAGGAACCGUCUUUAGUGUGGUGGUUGGAAAGUUUUUUCGGUGCAAGAUGAGCUCGCGGCCUAUCAGCUUGUUGGUGGGGUAAUGGCCUACCAAGGCGUCGACGGGUAGCCGGCCUGAGAGGGUGUACGGCCACAUUGGGACUGAGAUACGGCCCAG
rnacentral:rRNA from 1 species